UUUAACUGAGCGUUCAGUUACUUGACGUAGACCCGAAACCGGGCGACCUACCCAUGAGCAGGAUGAAGCGAAAGUAAAAUUUCGUGGAGGUCCGAACCCACGAGCGUUGAAAAGCUCGGGGAUGACUUGUGGGUAGCGGUGAAAUUCCAAUCGAGCCCGGAGAUAGCUGGUUCUCCCCGAAAUAGCUUUAGGGCUAGCCUCAAGGUGAGAGAUACGGAGGUAGAGCACUGAAUGUCCUAGGGGGUAUUGCACCUACCGAAGACUAUCAAACUCCGAAUGCCGUCAUCUUAUACUUGGGAGUCAGACUGUGGGUGAUAAGAUUCAUAGUCGAAAGGGCAACAGCCCAGAUCGUCAGCUAAGGUCCCUAAAUGUAAGUUAAGUGGUAAAGGAUGUGGGAUUGCACAGACAACCAGGAUGUUGGCUUAGAAGCAGCCACUCAUUCAAAGAGUGCGUAAUAGCUCACUGGUCGAGUGAUCCUGCGCCGAAGAUUUCCGGGGCUAAAACUUACUACCGAAGCUACGGCAUCAGUAAUGAUGGGUAGGGGAGCUUCCCAUACGGGUUGAAGCAUGACCGUAAGGACAUGUGGACAGUAUGGGAGUGAGAAUGUUGGCAUGAGUAGCGAGAUGUGGGUGAGAAUCCCACAGGCCGUAA
rnacentral:rRNA from 1 species